UAAUACGUAGGGGGCGAGCGUUGUCCGAAGUUACUGGGCGUAAAGCGCGCGUAGGCGGGCCUUUAAGUCUGGUGUGAAAGGUUUGGGCUCAACCCGAACAGUGCACUGGAUACUGCAGGCCUUGAGUUGGGCAGAGGAGAGUGGAAUUCCUGGUGUAGCGGUGAAAUGCGUAGAUAUCAGGAGGAACACCGAUGGCGAAGGCAGCUUUCUGGGCCCUAACUGACGCUGAGGUGCGAAAGCGUGGGGAGCGAACGGGAUUAGAUACCCCGGUAGUCCACGCCGUAAACGAUGAGUGCUAGGUGUCAGGGGUAUCGACCCCCCUGGUGCCGGAGCUAACGCAUUAAGCACUCCGCCUGGGGAGUACGGCCGCAAGGUUG
rnacentral:rRNA from 1 species